GGUCCCAUAGCUCAGUUGGUUAGAGCGUCGUACUAAUAUCACCACCUUUGGUUAUGUUAAGUCCAUGCGAAGGCCGGCGGUUCGAGCCCGCCUGGGACUA